rnacentral:lncRNA from 1 species
GGUACUAUUUUUUUAACUCAAUGAAUUUUAUCAUCGCAACCCAAUUUUACAACAUUUCCAUCCCAAUCCCCAGCCGCAACCUGUCUCCUUUGGUAACUGUAAGUUUUUUCAAAGUCUAUGAGUCAGUUUCUAUCUGCAAGUAAGUUCACUGUAUCCUUUUUUUUAGAUUCCGCAUAUAAGUGAUAGCAUAUGAUGUUUAUAUCUGUCUAACCUAACAUGAUAAUUUCUAAGUCUAUCCACGUUGCUGCAAAUGCCAUUAUUUCAUUUUUCAUGGCUUAGUAAUAUUCCAUUGGGUAUAUGUACCACUGAUUCUUUAUCUGCUCCUCUGUAGAUGGACAGUUAAGCUGCCUCCAUGUCUUGGCUAUUGUAUAUAGUACUGCAAUUAACAUUGGGGUACAUGUAUUUUUUUUGAGUCAUGGUUUUCUCUGGAUAGAUGCCCAGAAGUGGGACUGCUGGAUCAAAUAAUAAUUCUAUUUUUAGUUUUUUGAGGAAUCUCCAUACUGUUUUCCAUAAUGGUUAUACCAAUUUACAUUCCCAUCAACAGUGUAAGAGGGUUUCCUUUUCUCUACACCCACUCCAGCAUUUAUUGUUUAUAGACUUUUGAUGAUAGCCAUAAUGGCUGGUGUAAGGCGGUACCUCAGAGUAGUUUUGAUUUGCAUUUCUCUAACAAUUAGUGAUGUUGAACAUCUUUUCAUGCGUCUUUUUGGCCAUCUGUUUAUCUUCUUUGGAGAACUGUCUGCUUAGAUCUUCUGUCCAUUAUUUGAUGGGAUGGUUUGUUUCUUUGGUGUUGAGCUUCAGGAGGUGUUUAUAUAUUUUGGGGAUUAAUCCCUUGUCAGUCACUUCAUUUGCAAAUAUUUUCUCCCAUUCUGUGGGUUGUCCUGGUACUACUUUUAUUUCUUAAUACCUUCAAAAUUAUGGGCUAAGAACGGGAGCGGGAUAAGGGAAAGAAAACAAUGCUUAUUAAUUACCAAGCUGUGGGAGAUCCUAUACGUUAUAUCUUAUUACAUAUCAGAGAAAAGAACUGUAUUUGAUGGAGUACCCUGGUGGUCUAGUGGGUUAAGGAUCUGGCAUUGUUACUGCUGGUAACUCCCUGGCUCAGGAACUUCCACACACUGUGGGUAUGACAAAAAAAAAAAAAAAAAAAAAAAAAUAAGAAAAUUAGACAAUAAUAACAAAUGCCAUUAAGUUGACAGGCUAAAACUAGUAUUUUUAAAAUUUCCUAAAUAUGUGAUUGGAGAUGCUUCUGAUGGCCUUGAAAAACUAAUAUUCCACAUUUCCCAGUGUAAUGAACAUUUUAUUUUUAAAGCAAAACAGAUUUUGUUGCACAGAAUUUAAAACAGACUGUAGCUUAUGUAACUAAAUUUAAUGGCCUAAAAUAUUUUCUCCUAAAUCAUGCUGCACAUAUUUUAUUAAUCUAUGAAUAAAAAUUUAUUCCAGGAUGGUACUGCACAUAUUUAAUCAUAGUCAAGUCUCUCUUCAUCAGAAGAUCAAAUAUAGCUAAUAUUACUUAGAAAAUGGGAACUACAAAGGGCUUUAGAAUUAAGAAACAUUUUAAAACCACAUUUAAAUUCAAAUACUACUUAACACAAUUUUCACCCUGAAGCAUCAAGGAUAAACUUGAAGUACUGGCUUUGUUCAGAGUAAUCAAGAUAAAAACAUCAAAUAAUUUAGUCUGCAAAAUGAUUUUAUUAAAUAUUUAGAGACCUAAAUUAAAGUUCCUGGAAAUAUAUAAAUGGUAGAAUAUAUGUAGCAAAUUAUAAAUACAAGUUGAAAACUAACUCAAAAUAAUAUAGAUAUUGUUAAUUGCUGCUUCUCUGUUACCUAAACAAAUAUAUGCUGAUAAUUAAACUAAUAAACCACAAACAUGAAAUAAUCAAAUAUUAGAGAAAUAACAGAAAAGAUACACUUAAAAUAUUUCACUGAUAUAUAAAUUCACUAAUAUUGUGUGUUCAUAAAUAAAACACUCUGAUAAUAACAUAGGCUUUAAUUCAAAAGAGAAUUUUUAAACUCUUUUAUAAAUCAUAAAAUUUUCAAGAUGCACUUUGGCCUAAAAUGCUUUCAUUCUUGACCUCAGCCCAGAUAAAUAUUUUGGAAAGCUGGAAGAAAAAGUGUAUUUCCUAGUUGUUUGAGGUGUCUGAAUAUGAUUGGAAAAAGAAGAUAUUUUUCCCCAUUCUUACUUGGGCGCUUUGCCACUCAUUCACACAUGGCAUAAAUUUAAACUUUGAAUUGGCAUGUACAAGAUCCUCUAUGAGGAAAUCACAAUCCAGAAAUAAAAGCUGGCGAUUUCUGAAGCAGAGCCCAGCAACAUAUGCAGUACCUUGCUUCCUCAGUGGUGAACCAGGCUUUCCCUCCAGCCAGGUGUCUGCGCUGCUAUACAUACAAAGCCCAACUCAACAUGUGAAAGUCCCUUGCAAGGAAGUAAACCACAGGAACAGUAUACAUCAGUCCUAUAAAAUUACAAAUAUAUAUACAUAAGGGAUCAGAAGCUGGAAUCAAAAAGAGCUCACCGGCUUCCGGUAACAUCAGACUAGGUAGUACCUACCACCUCUCUCACUGACGACAACUUUCCGCCAGGCAAAACAAGAAGCAGUUGCCUGAGAGCAUCCAGAUGCUACUAGGGCAGUGAAGACUUGCAGGGCCGUGGAGAAGCACACCUCCACAGGUGAGCCCAUUUGGACAUCUGCUGAGCAGAGCUUUCAGAAAGGUCACGGGGAAACGGGACAAGAACUGGAGCUCAAGGUCUAUCAAGGAAAAGAGGCCUGGUAAACGCUCCUGGCUCUGGGUGAGGCUAACAUUCUGAGAGGAAAGAUGAACCAGAAUCUGGAACUCAAUCCAACUUCAAAAUCUCAUGCCCUUUCUUUCUAGAUCACGGUGAUUCAGGAUCCUAAGUCCUCCUACCCACCUUCCGGAAGCAAAAAUACAUCCAUCCUGAAGGAAGAUCAGCAUCGCCCUCCCUCACGUCAUCUACUGUUUUUCACCUACCAGGUCAGCACACAGGGUAACAACAGUUAGGUACACAAGGAGAGGGGUCAACAACAUCAUGGAAAACAGGAGCCGACCAGAUAAUCAAGUUAUUAGACAGACUUCAUAAGAAAAUCAAAGUUGUGCCUGAGAAAUUUGUCAGAAAAUUAGAAAAAAAAAUUUUUUUUAAGUACCAAAUAGAAAUUCUAGAACUGGAAACAAACAAACAAAACCUCCUGGAAUUGAGAAUUCAAUGAAAGGGUUUAAAAAAUUAGACACAGUUAAAGAAUGACUCCACAGCACAUCAUCACAGGCGCUGACAAAAUCAGCACAAUCCAUGUUGCAGGAAACGCUAUAAGAAAAACAACUCGGUAUCUUCAAAAACUUGCAAAAAGACAAAAAAAGAGAUAUGAAGCAGAAACCUAAAAAUUCAAGAGACUUCAGAAAUGCAUCAACCAAUCACAAGGUGGGGACUAUGACCGGACCCCAAUAAACGUGCUUUGGGAAAAAACAACUGUGAGAUCCGUAACACAACUGGAAACCUGAACUCUGAAUGGAUAUGAAGAUAUUAGAGAAUUAUUGCUUGCGUUUGUUCUACGUAGGUUUGAUAAUGAUUUGUGAUUAUGUUAGAGAAAAGUUCUUAUCGUUCUGGAGGGAAUGGACAUAUUUACAGAUAAAAUGAUAGUAUGACUGGAAUAUCCUUAAAAUAAUACAGGUGGGGUAAAUAAAUACAGUUAUAGAUUAAAGCCAAUUGCCAUGAGUUAAUUACUGAAAGAGGUGAUGGAUUUAUGCAAGUUCCUAAUACUUUUCAGUUUACUUUUGCUUGUGUUCAAAUUCUUCAUAAUAGGUAAGUUGUCUUUGCCUACUACUUUUAGAUUUGUAGAGCUCAUUAGAAAAAUUGGCCCUUUUCAUUAGUAUUAGAAUUUUAAACUUUAUUUAUGGUUGCUUUGUGGUAUAGUUUUCCAUUCUAAAGUAGUCAAACUUAUCAAUAUAUUCUUUCAUAAAUGCAUGUCAUGCUUUGAAAAGGCACCCUGCCCUACCCUAGGUUUAUAAUAUUCAUCUAUGAUUUCUUUUGCACUUUAUGAUUUCACUCCCCCGCCUCACAUUUAGAUUCAGACCCACCUGGAAUUUAUUUGGGUAAAGAGUAAGACUAGGGUCAAACUUUUCUUUUCCAAUAGCUACCAGUUGUCCCAACACAAUUUACUGAAUAAUCCAUCUUUCUAUUGACUUGAAAUAUUGCCUUUUAUUACUAUAAAUUCCCAUAUAUAGUUUGAGUAUAUUUCUGUACUGAUCCAAAGAUUUGUCUAUCUCAAGCCAGCAGUAUUGUUUAAAUUACCUUGCCUUAUAUUUUAAUGUUACUUAUUAAAUAAAACAAUUUUUUGGAGUUUCUAUAGUGGCUCAAUGGUUAUGAACCUGACUGGUAUCCAAGAGGAUGCAGAUUCAAUCCCUG